CGUAGCCUACGGGGCGCAGCAGUGAGGAAUAUUGGUCAAUGGGAGAGAUCCUGAACCAGCCAAGCCGCGUGAGGGAAGACGGCCCUAUGGGUUGUAAACCUCUUUUGUCGGAGAACAAAACCCGGGACGAGUCCCGGACUGCGUGUAUCCGAAGAAAAAGCAACGGCUAACUCCAUGCCAGCAGCCGCGGUAAUACGGAGGAUGCGAGCGUUAUCCGGAUUUAUUGGGUUUAAAGGGCGCGU
rnacentral:rRNA from 1 species